rnacentral:rRNA from 1 species
GAUUGACGGAGCGAAGCGACGUCAAAGCGUUCAUUAAAGUCGAGUUGGCUUAGGGAUACGUUCGUUGGGUAGGGGAGCGUUCUGUAAGCCUGUGAAGGUGGCCUGUGAGGGUUGCUGGAGGUAUCAGAAGUGCGAAUGCUGACAUAAGUAACGAUAAAGCGGGUGAAAAGCCCGCUCGCCGGAAGACCAAGGGUUCCUGUCCAACGUUAAUCGGGGCAGGGUGAGUCGACCCCUAAGGCGAGGCCGAAAGGCGUAGUCGAUGGGAAACGGGUUAAUAUUCCCGUACUUGGUGUUACUGCGAAGGGGGGACGGAGAAGGCUAUGUUGGCCGGGCGACGGUUGUCCCGGUUUAAGCGUGUAGGUGUGUGUUCCAGGUAAAUCCGGUUCACUUUAACACUGAGGCGUGACGACGAGGCACUACGGUGCUGAAGCAACAAAUGCCCUGCUUCCAGGAAAAGCCUCUAAGCAUCAGGUAACAUCAAAUCGUACCCCAAACCGACACAGGUGGUCAGGUAGAGAAUACCAAGGCGCUUGAGAGAACUCGGGUGAAGGAACUAGGCAAAAUGGUGCCGUAACUUCGGGAGAAGGCACGCUGACACGUAGGUGAAGUGAUUUACUCAUGGAGCUGAAGUCAGUCGAAGAUACCAGCUGGCUGCAACUGUUUAUUAAAAACACAGCACUGUGCAAACACGAAAGUGGACGUAUACGGUGUGACGCCUGCCCGGUGCCGGAAGGUUAAUUGAUGGGGUCAGCGCAAGCGAAGCUCCUGAUCGAAGCCCCGGUAAACGGCGGCCGUAACUAUAACGGUCCUAAGGUAGCGAAAUUCCUUGUCGGGUAAGUUCCGACCUGCACGAAUGGCGUAAUGAUGGCCAGGCUGUCUCCACCCGAGACUCAGUGAAAUUGAACUCGCUGUGAAGAUGCAGUGUACCCGCGGCAAGACGGAAAGACCCCGUGAACCUUUACUAUAGCUUGACACUGAACAUUGAGCCUUGAUGUGUAGGAUAGGUGGGAGGCUUUGAAGCGUGGACGCCAGUCUGCGUGGAGCCAACCUUGAAAUACCACCCUUUAAUGUUUGAUGUUCUAACGUGGACCCGUAAUCCGGGUUGCGGACAGUGUCUGGUGGGUAGUUUGACUGGGGCGGUCUCCUCCUAAAGAGUAACGGAGGAGCACGAAGGUUGGCUAAUCCUGGUCGGACAUCAGGAGGUUAGUGCAAUGGCAUAAGCCAGCUUGACUGCGAGCGUGACGGCGCGAGCAGGUGCGAAAGCAGGUCAUAGUGAUCCGGUGGUUCUGAAUGGAAGGGCCAUCGCUCAACGGAUAAAAGGUACUCCGGGGAUAACAGGCUGAUACCGCCCAAGAGUUCAUAUCGACGGCGGUGUUUGGCACCUCGAUGUCGGCUCAUCACAUCCUGGGGCUGAAGUAGGUCCCAAGGGUAUGGCUGUUCGCCAUUUAAAGUGGUACGCGAGCUGGGUUUAGAACGUCGUGAGACAGUUCGGUCCCUAUCUGCCGUGGGCGCUGGAGAACUGAGGGGGGCUGCUCCUAGUACGAGAGGACCGGAGUGGACGCAUCACUGGUGUUCGGGUUGUCAUGCCAAUGGCACUGCCCGGUAGCUAAAUGCGGAAGAGAUAAGUGCUGAAAGCAUCUAAGCACGAAACUUGCCCCGA